UGGGGAAUUUUGGACAAUGGGGGAAACCCUGAUCCAGCCAUCCCGCGUGUGCGAUGAAGGCCUUCGGGUUGUAAAGCACUUUUGGCAGGAAAGAAACGUCAUGGGUUAAUACCCCGUGAAACUGACGGUACCUGCAGAAUAAGCACCGGCUAACUACGUGCCAGCAGCCGCGGUAAUACGUAGGGUGCAAGCGUUAAUCGGAAUUACUGGGCGUAAAGCGUGCGCAGGCGGUUCGGAAAGAAAGAUGUGAAAUCCCAGAGCUCAACUUUGGAACUGCAUUUUUAACUACCGGGCUAGAGUGUGUCAGAGGGAGGUGGAAUUCCGCGUGUAGCAGUGAAAUGCGUAGAUAUGCGGAGGAACACCGAUAGCGAAGGCAGCCUCCUGGGAUAACACUGACGCUCAUGCACGAAAGCGUGGGGAGCAAACAGG
rnacentral:rRNA from 1 species